UAUAGCUUGGUGUUAUUGAGCAUUCUAUGUUUUGGUCGUAGGGGUAAAUUAGAUGUUAGCUAUAG
rnacentral:tRNA from 1 species